CGUGCUUAACACAUGCAAGUCGAACGAUGAACCCGCUUGCGGGGGAUUAGUGGCGAACGGGUGAGUAACACGUGAGUAACCUGCCCUUAACUCUGGGAUAAGCCUUGGAAACGGGGUCUAAUACUGGAUAUUGACUUUUCCUCGCAUGGGGAUUGGUUGAAAGAUUUAUUGGUUUUGGAUGGACUCGCGGCCUAUCAGCUUGUUGGUGAGGUAAUGGCUCACCAAGGCGACGACGGGUAGCCGGCCUGAGAGGGUGACCGGCCACACUGGGACUGAGACACGGCCCAGACUCCUACGGGAGGCAGCAGUGGGGAAUAUUGCACAAUGGGCGAAAGCCUGAUGCAGCGACGCCGCGUGAGGGAUGACGGCCUUCGGGUUGUAAACCUCUUUCAGUAGGGAACAAGGCCAGUGUUUAGCUGGUUGAGGGUACUUGCAGAAGAAGCGCCGGCUAACUACGUGCCAGCAGCCGCGGUAAUACGUAGGGCGCAAGCGUUAUCCGGAAUUAUUGGGCGUAAAGAGCUCGUAGGCGGUUUGUCGCGUCUGCCGUGAAAGUCCGGGGCUCAACCCCGGAUCUGCGGUGGGUACGGGCAGACUAGAGUGAUGUAGGGGAGACUGGAAUUCCUGGUGUAGCGGUGAAAUGCGCAGAUAUCAGGAGGAACACCGAUGGCGAAGGCAGGUCUCUGGGCAUUAACUGACGCUGAGGAGCGAAAGCAUGGGGAGCGAACAGGAUUAGAUACCCUGGUAGUCCAUGCCGUAAACGUUGGGCACUAGGUGUG
rnacentral:rRNA from 1 species